GGGGAUAUAGCUCAGUAGGUAGAGCACUUGCCUUGCCUCGCAUGCAUAAGGCCCGGGGUUCAAUCCCCAGCACCACCA
rnacentral:tRNA from 1 species